rnacentral:SRP_RNA from 1 species
GCCGGGCAUGGUGGUGCAUGCCUGUAGUCCCAGCUACUUGGGAGGCUGAGGCAGAAGAAUCGCUUGGACCCGGGAGAUGGAGGUUGCAGUGAGCUAAGAUCACGCCACUGCACUCCAGCCUGGGCAACAGAGGGAGACUCUGUCUCAA